rnacentral:rRNA from 1 species
GUCUACGGCCAUGCCAUCCUGAACGUGCCGGAUCUCAUCUGAUCUCGGGUCGGGCCUGGUUAGUACUUGGAUGGGAGACCACCUAGGACUACCAGAUGCUGUAGGCG